CCUACGGGUGGCAGCAGUGAGGAAUAUUGGUCAAUGGACGAGAGUCUGAACCAGCCAAGUAGCGUGAAGGAUGACUGCCCUAUGGGUUGUAAACUUCUUUUAUAUGGGAAUAAAAUGUUCCACGUGUGGGAUUUUGUAUGUACCAUAUGAAUAAGGAUCGGCUAACUCCGUGUCAGCAGCCGCGGUAAUACGGAUGUUCCGAGCGUUAUCCGGAUUUAUUGGGUUGAAAGGGAGCGUAGGUGGAUUGUUAAGUCAGUUGUGAAAGUUUGGGGCUCAACCGUAGAAUUGCAGUGGAAACUGGGAGGCGGGAGUGCAGUAGAGGUGGGCGGAAUGCGUGGUGUAGCGGUGAAAUG
rnacentral:rRNA from 1 species